GACGUAGGGUCCAAGCGUUGUCCGGAUUUACUGGGCGCAAAGAGCGCGUAGGCGGCUCGUCAAGUGUGAAGUGAAAUCUCUAGGGCUCAACCCAGAAACUGCUUUACAUACUGGCGAGCUGGAGUGAUGAAGAGGUUUGUGGAAUUCCUGGUGUAGCGGUGAAAUGCGUAGAUAUCAGGAGGAACACCUGUGGCGAAAGCGGCUCACUGGACCAUCACUGACGCUGAGGCGCGAAAGCUAGGGGAGCAAACAGG
rnacentral:rRNA from 1 species